CUCCUCUAAGUACCAGCCAUCAGACUGGAAAAGACAGGGAACAGAAAUAUUGGGUGCAUCCUGGAAGCGGUUUGGCUAAAGGGAGCCAAUGCAGCUGGCCUAUCUUUGGCAGUUCACAGACUGGCACCCAAACAGGGACAAACCACCACACAGGGACUUGCCAUUUCCGCCGAGUCCACCCUUGGCCCAAGAUCAUUCAACAAACACAUAGUGUUGAUGAUCAAGGUACCCAAGCACUCCAGCAGCCAUCAUGAUCAGCCCC
rnacentral:lncRNA from 1 species